rnacentral:rRNA from 1 species
AGUGAACGCUGGCGGUAGGCCUAACACAUGCAAGUCGAACGGCAGCACAGUAAGAGCUUGCUCUUACGGGUGGCGAGUGGCGGACGGGUGCGGAAUACAUCGGAAUCUACUCUUUCGUGGGGGCUAACGUAGGGAAACUUACGCUAAUAACGCAUACGACCUACGGGUGAAAGCAGGGGAUCUUCGGACCUUGCGCGAUUGAAUGAGCCGAUGUCGGAUUAGCUAGUUGGCGGGGUAAAGGCACACCAAGGCGACGAUCCGUAGCUGGUCUGAGAGGAUGAUCAGCCACACUGGAACUGAGACACGGUCCAGACUCCUACGGGAGGCAGCAGUGGGGAAUAUUGGACAAUGGGGGAAAGCCUGAUCCAGCCAUACCGCGUGGGUGAAGAAGGCCUUCGGGUUGGAAAGCCCUUUUGUUGGGAAAGAAAAGCAGCAGGUUAAUACCCCGCUGUUCUGACGGUACCCAAAGAAUAAGCACCGGCUAACUUCGUG